AGCGAACGCUGGCGGCAGGCUUAACACAUGCAAGUCGAGCGGGCGUAGCAAUACGUCAGCGGCAGACGGGUGAGUAACGCGUGGGAACGUACCUUUUGAUUCGGAACAACACAGGGAAACUUGUGCUAAUACCGGAUAAGCCCUUACGGGGAAAGGAUUAUCGCCGAAGAUCGGCCCGCGUCUGAUUAGCUAGUUGGUGAGGUAAUGGCUCACCAAGGCGACGAUCAGUAGCUGGUCUGAGAGGAUGAUCAGCCACAUUGGGACUGAGACACGGCCCAAACUACCUACGGGAGGCAGCAGUGGGGAAGUAUUGGACAAUGGGCGGCAAGCCUGAUCCAGCCAUGCCGCGUGAGUGAUGAAGGCCC
rnacentral:rRNA from 1 species